CGGGUGAGUAACGCGUAGGUAACCUACCUAUAAGACUGGGAUAACUUCGGGAAACCGGAGCUAAUACCGGAUAAUAUUUUGAACCGCAUGGUUCAAAAGUGAAAGACGGUCUUGCUGUCACUUAUAGAUGGAUCCGCGCUGCAUUAGCUAGUUGGUAAGGUAACGGCUUACCAAGGCAACGAUGCAUAGCCGACCUGAGAGGGUGAUCGGCCACACUGGAACUGAGACACGGUCCAG
rnacentral:rRNA from 1 species